GGAAGAGUAUCGAAGUGGUCAUAACGGACCUGACUCGAAAUCAGGGAGCCUUAACGGGCACGAGGGUUCGAAUCCCUCCUCUUCCG
rnacentral:tRNA from 1 species